CUUGGUCAUUUAGAGGAAGUAAAAGUCGUAACAAGGUUUCCGUAGGUGAACCUGCGGAAGGAUCAUUACAAAUCUUUGCGGGCUGGCCGCCGUGAAUGCGGUGUGCUGGACUCACAUUAGCACAAGGUCGCAAGGCCUUGAUGUUUACGCUUGUUUGUUUGACAGAGUUAGUUGAGAAUAAAAAAGAAAGACAACUUUUAACAAUGGAUCUCUUGGCUCUUGCAACGAUGAAGAACGCAGUAAAGUGCGAUAUGUAGUGCGAUUUGCAUGAAUCUGUGAGUCAUCUAAUCUUUGAACGCAACUUGCGCCUUUUACGAGGCAUGUUUGUUUGAGUGCCGCAAUCUUCUGCAGCGAUGCGAUUUGACUCUUGUCUUUGCUGACCGAGUUUAAAAGGAGCUAGAGGAUGGUCAGUCUUGACUAGCCCGAGUGCUAAGCAUUCUUGGGUCUAGCGCUGGAUUGUUCAUUACAUGUAUUUUCUAUUUUGGCCUCAAAUCAAGCAAGACUACCCGCUGAACUUAAGCAUAUCAAUAAGCGGAGG
rnacentral:rRNA from 1 species